rnacentral:tRNA from 1 species
AAAAAAUUAGUUAAUUUUAUAUAACAUUAGAUUGUCAUUCUAAAAUAAAUUUUUACUAAUUAUUUUUUA